rfam:Nicotiana attenuata strain TT chromosome 11, whole genome shotgun sequence.
AAGAGAAGAGCAUGUCAAGAUAGCCAAGGAGACCAAGCAAAAAGGCCACACAUUAUUAAUUGGUGUAAUCAAACACCUUUUUCAAAUAACGGUGCAUGCAAGUCAUCCUUGGCUACUAAACAAAUAUGACUCUCCUCU